rnacentral:lncRNA from 1 species
CGUGCGUGCCACAGGUGAGGACCAGGGCAGGGCAGUCAGCACGUCCACCCGUUUCUUUCUUUGCGCUUGCGCUCUCUCGCUUUGCCUUUACGCUGUCAGGCGGGGUCAGUGCAGACUGGCGGAACGCUCUCCCCAUAACGCUGGGCAAAGUGUUCCCACAACUCGGCCCGAACUCCCCUAACCGCGAAGCUGCUCUCUGGCCGAGAACUGGGCCUUUCCUUCCACGCAUGCGCAGUCAGGGCGCCUGGAGGAGUCCAGCGCCCCCUGCUGGCCGCCCCCGCCUCUGCGCAGCCCUCCCCUCUCCUGGAUUCCGCCUGUGUCCCUCGGCCCACGCAGGCUGGGCAGAGGCAGGGCUCCCCUGGGGUUUCCUGCCCCAGGGCCCACUGUCCUGUGCGGAUCGUGCCUGGAGACGCGGGUCACACCGGCUGACAGGCAUCCUGAACUCGCACCGCGCAGACUGAGCAAGGGUGGGCUGAGCACAGAGCAGCAACUGAAGGUACAGCACCUUUUAUUUACCGUUACACAGACGAUGUGACAGGAAACACACCUGAAUGCCCUUCGAGACCCUACAGGAGGUCACAGGCGCCGCAGCCUCUGGACAGGGACUGAGGAGCCGCGAAAGGUGCACAGGACCUGCCUCCCCGUGGAGUGCCCAGGGCGGCUUCACGUGGGUCACAGGGAGGUGCUUGGCACACAGCAUUUCCCUGAGACAACACUUCGCCCGCCGGAGCCCCGUAGCUGCCCCAUGCCACCUGCACACCCGCGCGUCACACCAGUCCACGGGCUGGCCGAGAACCUCGAGAUUUACCAAUUAAUAACCGAGGCCGAGUCGCGGCACAUGCUGGCCACGCAGUAGAUCGAUUCCCCCUUCAGGAAUCCAUCCAUCCAGCCUGGAUCAAGCCCUGGACACUGGCGUGGGUGGAGGAGUGGCCCGGCUCCCCUCUGUCCAGGUGCCUCUUCUGUCAGGAGAGCAACACCCCAUCCACCAGCGAACAGUGCUGUAUGCAGACUUCGAGGCUGGGUGGGCUGAGUGGUACUGAGUUUCUCAUAUGCACAUCGUAGCACCUGCUAUAAGAAGACCACCUUGCCUGCCUCCCCCAGGGAGUCCUGUGCGUCCACAGGGGCCCGGGAGAACUCAACUCUCCUGAGUGUAAGCAGACGGAGGCAGCACGUGGGGACCCCAACCUCAAUUAGGUUCUUCGAAAACAUCGGACAUGGCCUUGCUCUAGGCACAAAAACGAC